GUCCAUCGUGCAAUUAUGAUUCAGAUCUCGCACACUUCCGACAACACUAUAGGUUGAUAAAGUUAUGUGUGUCCAAGGGAAACAAGGUACCGUGUCAAAUUAGAAGUAUCACAUAUACUUAUUAAUUCCAAUAUGAAAAGAAAACUAUACAUAAAAGUUAUGAGCUUUCAAAAGAAAAAAUUAAUAUAAUUUAAAUUUUAUUACUUUUCUUAAACUAUUCAGACAAAUAAAAUUUGUCGGCUUUUAUUAUUUGUGGUAAACCAUACAUAAUAAAAUAAAAACAUAAAAAUAUGUCCCCACUCUCUUGUUGCUCAUAUUUUACUCGGGCGUGUUCGCUAUUAACCGUGAAUUCUGAUAAGACAGACAAACAAUUUUUAUGUUCGAUCGUUAUUUAUCAUUUUAAAGUAAUAAUUUUAUGUUUUUAUUUUAAAUUACUAUUUUUACUAAGUUUUUAAUUAAAUUCCGGCUGAGUAAAGAAUCUAUAUUUUCCCUAAGUUGUUAUUAUUAAGUUAAUCGAUUUCGUAAUUUUUUCUAGUUUAUCUCUAACAUUUUUCAGUAAUAAAGGUGUUACUUUUAAUAACAGGAAAAAGAAUGUUUAAAAAUAUUUUUUAAUCUAAUAUAAAGUGAUCUAUAAUGCCAUAUAGUAAAUCGAUGUAUUAUUAACCGAUAAACGUAUUCAUCGUGUAAAAGUUAUGUGGUAUUUUAAACAAAAAAUGUUCACCCUAUUAAUUGUGGCUUGUAUAACACCAACUCUUUGUCUCGCUCAACUUAAUGAAAUCGAAACCGAGUGGCGUUGUCCUGAUUUUUGGGUUAAAUAUGCACAAUCGUGUUACAAAUUUGUUAAGUCACCUAUUAGACAAAGACCAGAAGCUCAUCGUAAUUGCCAAGCGUUUGGAGCUGAUUUAGCUAGUGUUAACAAUUUAGAUGAACAUGGAUUCCUCAUCAAUCAAUUAUUGCAUCUAGAUCCACAGCACAGACAGUGGUAUGUUAGUGGUAGACAAUCAAGUCCUGGUGUUUGGAUUAAUGAUGCAGAAAACACAAUUCCUUUAAUAGACAUAGAAAAUGCUCUAUUACCUGAACAAGAUACAACAUUGAAUAGGGAUUACAUUGCAUACACUUACUCCAACCAGUUACAGAAAUGGGGAUUUCAAAAAGUACCAGGUGAUCGAUACUUAAAUUACAUAUGUGAAGUUCCUAUUACCAAACAGCACAUGGUUGUAGAUAAACGGUCCUACCAGUAUGGGUUCAAUAUAGAAGAUCCUUUAAAAGUACCUCGUGGACCAUACUUUAUCAAACAACCCGUUGAUGUUGUUUUUGAUGGCACCAGAAAAGGAAUUACUAAUGAUGUCACAUUGACGUGUAUUGCUGGUGGAUAUCCUACUCCAACAUAUGAGUGGUUUAAAGAAGAAUAUGAUAAUCAAGAUCAAUUGCAAUCAAUAAAAAUUGACCCCUUAAGCAACAACAGAUUUACAUUGAGUGGAGGAACAUUAAUUAUUUAUUCUCCAAAAAGGGAUGAAGAUCGAGGUCGUUAUCAUUGCAAAGCAACAAAUAUGUAUGGUUCUAUAAUUUCAGAGAGUAUUCAAUUAUCAUUUGGAUUUAUUGGUGAAUUUAACUUACUGAGACCUUUAGAACGAGGUAAUAUGAAUUGGGGAAAAACAAUUUUCUGUGAUCCUCCGCAAUUUUUUCCUGAUGUAAGAUACUAUUGGGUGAGAGAAUCUUUCCCAAAUUUGGUCCAAGAAGAUAGAAGAGUUUUUGUAUCUUAUGAUGGAUAUUUGUACUUUUCGGCUUUGGAAGAAAUUGAUGCUGGUAAUUAUAGUUGUAAUGUCCAGAGCAAAGUAUCGAAUACCGGUAAAAAUGGACCAUUGUUUCCACUACAUGUAGUCAUGCAUUCUGAUUAUCAACAACUCAUCCUACCAAACAACUUUCCCAAAGCUUUUCCAGAGGCUCCUGUAGCUGGUCAAGAAGUUAGAUUAGAAUGUGUAGCUUUUGCAUAUCCUGUCCCGUCAUACAACUGGACAAGAAAAGGUAGUCCUUUACCAAGGGGCUCAUAUUUAACCAGCUUCAAUCGAGUUUUAAUCAUACCACGAGUUCAAGUUGAAGACCAGGGCGAGUAUAAUUGUCAUGUUUUCAAUGAUCGGGAUAGUAAGGAAAAAAGUGUAUUGCUCUCUGUUCAAGCUGAACCAAAUUUCACUAUACCUCUUGAAGAUAAACAUAUGGAUAAUCAAGCUGAUUUGACUUGGACUUGUGAAGCAUUUGGUGUACCAGAUGUCACAUACAAAUGGUUUAAAAAUGGUGAGCCCCUAGAAAUUGACAAAUUACAGCCUGAUGAUCAGAAACGAUACUCAGUUCAAGACAAUGUAUUAAACAUCAGGUAUUUAGAUGCUGAACGAGAUUCUGGAAUGUAUCAAUGCCAAGCUCGUAAUACAUACAAGGCGAGCUAUUCAUCAGCUCAAUUGAGAGUUUUGUCAUUGCGUCCUUCAUUUAAAAAGAAACCUCUCGAACCAGAAAUUUAUGGUGCUGAAGGUAAAAAUGUUACUAUUGAAUGUAAUCCAGAAGCAGCACCUAAACCAAAAUUUACUUGGCGAAAAGAUGGAUAUGUAAUAGGAUCUGGAGGGAGACGUCGUAUCUUAGAAAAUGGUAAUUUAAUCAUUAAUCCAGUUGGAAGAGAUGAUGAAGGGAUCUAUAUAUGCAUUGCUCAAAAUAUUUAUGGAACUGAAGAAAGUCAAGGGAGGCUUAUUGUUAUGAGAGGUCCUGUUUUUGUUGAACAGCUGAGUCCUCAAAUGCGUACCAUUAUACAAAAUGAUUUGUUAUUACGUUGUCAAGCCUCUUCAGAUGAACUUCUUGAUUUAGCUUAUGUUUGGAGUCAUAAUGGUAUGCCUUUGUUGAAUUCCAAUCCUGAAAUCAUUAACCACAUUACUAUUAAUGGCGGUGAACUUUUUAUUCACAAUAUAACAUUAGAAGAUGCUGGUGAAUACAGAUGUAUUGUGCAUAGUGUAGUUGGUGAGAUAUCUUCAAUGACUACUUUAUAUGUUGAUGGACCACCUGGACCUCCUGGUGAAGUACGAGUUGAAGUUAUGAAGACAUCUGCUAAGCUUCAAUGGACUGAUGGCUCGGCAAAUGGUCGUCAAAUUUCUAGGUAUAUUGUUAGUGGCAGAACUAAUUGGAAUAGUACUUGGUAUACAAUUGCUACAGAUAUUAUCACCAAAGAAAUUGAUAGAUACAAUGGUCGUAAAGAAGCAUACUUAGAAAACGUUCUCAUGCCUUGGUCAAAAUAUGAAAUCAGAAUGAUAGCAGGUAAUGAUAUUGGAUUUGGAAAAUAUUCAUUACCAUCGCCUCAAGUUAAUACUCCACCAGAUCAUCCAUAUAAGGCGCCAUUAAAUAUUACUGGUGGUGGAGGAAAAAUAGGAGAUUUGACUAUUAUGUGGAAACCAUUACCUCCUCAAGAUCAAAAUGGUCCAGGAAUCUACUACAAAGUAUUCUGGAGACGUUUAGAUCAUGACAGCGAAUUUCAGCAUGAAACAUUGCAAAAUAGUGGUAAUAUUGGAAUUGCUGUAAUGCAUGUGAAACCAGAGUUUUAUUAUACACGUUAUGAAGUUAAAGUUCAAGCAUUUAAUUCAAUUGGUGCUGGACCCAUAUCUGAACCCAUAGUAAUAUACAGUGCUGAAGAUAUGCCACAAGCAUCUCCUCAACAAAUAUCUGCUAUAUCUUAUAAUUCAACAGCAAUCAAUGUUACCUGGUUACCAAUAGAUCCUACAAGAGAACUUCUACGUGGAAAACUUAUUGGAUACAGGUUGAAAUAUUGGAAAAAAAAUUCUCUUGAUAAGGAAGAAGAUGCUGUGUAUUAUUUAAGCAGGACCACUAGACCUUGGGCACUUAUUGUUGGUCUUCAACCAGAUACUCAAUAUUAUGUUAAAGUAAUGGCCUACAAUUCUGCGGGUGAAGGACCAGAAAGUGAAAGAUUUAUAGAGCGUACAUAUAAAAAAGCACCUCAAAAACCACCUUCAGCUGUAAGUGUUAUAGGUGAAAAUCCAGAUACUAUACGAGUUAAAUGGCGUUAUGUUGCUCCAACUCUUGAAGAGGAACCAAUCAAAGGAUAUAAGGUACGAAUCUGGGAAUCUGAUCAGGAUAUGAGUACAGCCAAUGAUACAAUUAUUGUUGGCAAUAUACUAGAUACAUAUAUUUCAAAGCUGACUCCUGGAAAGAUAUAUAAACUUCGUGUUUUAGCAUAUUCUAAUGGUGGAGAUGGACGUAUGUCAUCGCCAGCACAUACAUUCCAAAUGGGAAGUUAUAAUAAGUAAUUUUAAUAUUGCUUUAUGUUUACUAAAAUAAACUAUUCAAUCAAUACCAAUAAAUUUGAUGAGAUCCUAAAAUUUAUUCACCUAACUCAGCUACUAGAAACUCUGUCAUUUUCAUAAUCAUAUUAUCAUUGGUACUGAAAUUGUUUAGUAUUGUAUAACCAUUUAUUGAUUGUCACAUUUAUGUACACUAGCACCAUAUACUCAUAUAAAGUUUAUCGAUUUCAAAUAGCUGAAAUUAUUAUUUUUUGUAAUAUGUGUUAUGUAUUUUAGACUAUAUUAGAUUUUAAGUCUUAUAAAUGAACAAUUUUUCAUAUAAAAUGUUUUUGAAAAAGUUCGUGAUAAUUUAAAAUUUCUUAACUCUAGUAAUACUAGUAAUAGUUUACUAAAAUACAUCCCCUCAAAAAAAAUUAUAUAUAAUAUAGAUAAUGUAUAUGUAUAUUAUAUAAAUAUAUAUAUACGUAUAUAUUUAAGUAAAACAAGAAUUCUCAAUUAUUAAUUUAAGUGACUGAAUUUAAGUUAUUAUGAUUUGUAAUGAUAAUCUUUAGUCAACAAAUCCGUCCAUUAAAAUUA